AACCUUGAAUCUUGUCACUCCUGUGCGA
rnacentral:sRNA from 1 species